rnacentral:rRNA from 1 species
GAUGAACGCUGGCGGCGUGCCUAAUACAUGCAAGUAGAACGCUGAAGGAAGGAGCUUGCUCUUUCCGGAUGAGUUGCGAACGGGUGAGUAACGCGUAGGUAACCUGCCUGGUAGCGGGGGAUAACUAUUGGAAACGAUAGCUAAUACCGCAUAACAGUAGAUGUUGCAUGAUAUCUACUUAAAAGGUGCAAUUGCACCACUACCAGAUGGACCUGCGUUGUAUUAGCUAGUUGGUGAGGUAACGGCUCACCAAGGCGACGAUACAUAGCCGACCUGAGAGGGUGAUCGGCCACACUGGGACUGAGACACGGCCCAGACUCCUACGGGAGGCAGCAGUAGGGAAUCUUCGGCAAUGGACGGAAGUCUGACCGGGCAACGCCGCGUGAGUGAAGAAGGUUUUCGGAUCGUAAAGCUCUGUUGUAAGAGAAGAACGAGUGUGAGAGUGGAAAGUUCACACUGUGACGGUAUCUUACCAGAAAGGGACGGCUAACUACGUG